CCAGUCUCUACCAAUAAAAAGGAACCGAGUAGGGAUAUUGUAAAUGGAUCACUCUCUAGUGUGCUGAUAGAAAAUGGGAAACAGAAUGAACAAAAUCUAGUCACAUCUGCAGUGGAGUACAAGAUGCCUCUUGUUUGGAUUGACAUGGAAAUGACUGGUUUGAAUAUUGAAGUUGAUAGAAUACUGGAGAUUGCAUGUAUAAUUACAGAUGGCAAUUUGACUAAAUCAGUGGAGGGUCCCGAUUUGGUUAUCCAUCAGAGUAAAGAGUGCUUAGAGAAGAUGGGAGAAUGGUGUCAAAGUCAUCAUGCAGCUAGCGGU
rnacentral:misc_RNA from 1 species